ACUCAAAUGAAUAGACGGGGGCUCACACAAGCGGUGGAGCAUGUGGCUUAAUUCGAGGCUACGCGAAGAACCUUACCCAGACUUGACAUAUGCGAAAGCGCUCCGUGGUAGGACCCGGAAACGGGGACGAAUGCCCGCAAGGGUAGAGCGGAGCACAGGUGCUGCAUGGCUGUCGUCAGCUCGUGUCGUGAGAUGUCGGGUUAAGUCCCAUAACGAGCGAAACCCUUACCAUCAGUUGCCAAUUACGGGACUCUGGUGGGACUGCCGGUGUUAAACCGGAGGAAGGUGGGGAUGACGUCAAGUCCUCAUGGCCUUUAUGUCUGGGGCUGCACACGUGCUACAAUGGCGUGAACAAAGGGACGCGAAACCGCGAGGUCAAGCAAAUCCCAAAAAACACGCCUCAGUUCAGAUCGCAGGCUGCAACCCGCCUGCGUGAAGUUGGAAUCGCUAGUAAUCGCGGGUCAGCAACACCGCGGUGAAUGUGUUCCUGAGCCUUGCACACACCGCCCGU
rnacentral:rRNA from 1 species